rnacentral:lncRNA from 1 species
UUUUGUCUCUAUCUGAGAUCGUCUCGUGCUCUUAUCCGAUCCAAUAGUGGUGGGGUUCGUGACGAUUAAGAAAAGAUGCCGUGCAGCCGAGUCGAGAUUAUUCGCUCUACCUGUAAUUGAUCUAGCGAAUGUAGUGUCGGCACGUGAUGCAUUUGAAAAGAAAGAGCAACAAAUCAUCUUGGUCAGGACAUGAGAAUAUGUGAGAAAGUUCCAUGGCGAGAUGGGGGCUGGCACGAAACUUAUCAGAUGCAAAAUUACGUCUUGAGCACCCCGUCGGACUCGACCAAAAUCCCGUUCUCGUGGCUGUGUGCCUCCCGUUACAACUAGCAAGAUAUAGUUAACUAAGUUAGGUGACUUAAAUAAACACCCAUGGCUUGGUAUUCAAAUACGAUGGCGCGCCUAGAAUAUUUCCGAUAGAAUAUCAUUCAAAAUAUGGGGAGUGAUAAAUCUACGAUCGAAUUGAUAAACCUAUGGCCCGAUUCCUAAACCUGACUACUGUAAUAUGAUCUGAUAGACGUUAUUUUA